rnacentral:lncRNA from 12 species
GGCUGGUGUCACCUUUAGAGGAAGAGAAUGUGGGUGACAGGGCCACCAGGAGAGAGGUACCUGAAGCGCUCCAGGUCGCUGCUUGGGCUCAGGACACCGAAGACUUUGUGUCCUGUGUCCAGGGUCCACAGUGCAUUGAGCUGAGGACCCACAACAAAAUACGGGUGGGAGUGACACCAUGACGGAGGAAAAGCAACCCAGCUGAGAAAUGUGGUGAGCCCCCCAGGGCUCAGGGCAGACCAGAUGACCAGCCCUCCACUUGGUCCUGGCAGCAUGCCAGCCUGAACGGGGCUGGGAGACAAAGAAGGUGAAGUCACUCCACCGUGACCCUUCCCCAUGCCCACCUCCACCUCAGCAGCUGCUUCCUGGAGAACCUGGCCUGCUGAAGAGGUACAUCCAGGUGACAAAGAAAUGGACACACACAUGGCCAUAAAAGUCUUGGCUAUUUCUUCAGAGAACAUUCAUCCAGUCUGGGAAACUUACUCCUUUUAUGAAUGAGGACACUGAUGUCCAGAGGAGCAGUGACUGGCCCAGGGUCUCAUGUUCCAUGGGCAGCAGAGCUAAUCCAGCACUCAGGCUCCAAGAACCCAGCUCUCCACCCCUGUCUAUGGCCCUAGCUGCCACCAGGUGGUUCAGACCCUGGAAAGGAUAGACUAUAGUCUUCACUGUCUCAACUCAUGAUUUAUCUAAGUCUACUGGCUGGUCUGGUCCCAGUCCCUCACGGGCAAAUGGCAGAUAUAGAGAAAUUAUCAGAAAGAGAGCCUGUGAGGGCUAGUGACUGGGACCUGGAGGAGAUGCUGCAGAAGAGUAUCUGACAUACAAUAAGGACUCCAUAAAUAUCUGUUGAGUUGAGUUGAAUUGAAUUGAAAUAAACACAAAAUAAAUAUGUAAUUAUAUACUUGU